rnacentral:rRNA from 1 species
UGGUGCAUGGCCGUUCUUAGUUGGUGGAGUGAUUUGUCUGGUUAAUUCCGAUAACGAACGAGACCUUUACCAUACUAAAUAGUUUGAUUUAUAAAUUCAUUUUAUAGAUUUAUGAUAGCAAUAUCUAAACUUCUUAGAGGGACUAUUGGUUUCUAAACCAAAGGAAGUAAAGGCGAUAACAGGUCUGUGAUGCCCUUAGAUGUUCUGGGCUGCACGCGCGCUACAAUGAUAGUUUCAACGAGUAUUUAUAUUUUUUUUAUAUUUUACUUAACCGGAAGGUUUGGUUAAUCUUAAACAACUAUCGUGCUUGGGAUAGAUGAUUGCAAUUAUUUAUCUUGAACCAGGAAUUCCUAGUAAUCGUAUAUCAUCAGUGUGCGAUGAUUACGUCCCUGCCCCUUGUACACACCG